CCAGACAUAAAAAAUCAUGAGCUAACAUCUCCUUUCUUCAUCAUCUUCUGAUUGAUUCUCUGCCUUUCAGCUUCUUGAGGAUCCUGCAUGUGAUACACAACUGCGAUCCGUCCUGGUGUCUCAAUUCUCAAACCAUAACUUUAUGCACAUUCUAGUUUUAAGUUUUUUUCGUUGUAGUCAUUCUUUUAUGAUUAUUAUUAAUUAGCUGUAUGUUUCUUUUUUCAUUGCAUUCAUAUAUCCAUUAAUUCAUAUUCUAAUUCUAUAUCAUGUUAUCUAACGGUUUUUUUUUUUUUGAUAGGCCAAUGUUAGUUGUUAAUUGUUAGUAAAAUAAUUUCUUCGCUAGGAUUCGAACCCUGAACCUUCACCCAGCAAAUUCCUUCAUUCCCUUAGCUCACCAAGUGAGCUACCCUUCCCUCAUCAUGUUAUCUAAGUACGGAUCUCAUUUGUGAGCCACAUCAAAUCAUUGUACCUCGUUGGAUAUACAGCUAGCUGGAAGUUGCAACUACUUUUGCAACAAAAGGGUAACCAUGUACGAAAUACUGCCAGGUUCAAAAAGUGGAAAUGGGAAAGAAAAUAAGGAAAAAUGAAGAAAAAGUAGAAAUAAACAAAGUGCAUGGUUGUGCUAAGCACGAUCGUGGUUGAUUUAUAGAGCACGACGUCUACAUUUGUAAAGCAUGGCCUUUGAUGUUUCAAAGAGCACGACUAUGCUCCUUAUAAAGCACGGUCCUGCAUGCUUAGUGACGCAACCCACUUGUACUUUGAGUUUAAAAGGAAAUUUUUGAGAUUACGAAGAAAGACUUAUUUUGAGUUCUUAUUAUUGGAGUGAUUUUCUUUGAAGGGCUUCUUUUGAGGUUCUGAAGGCCAUGGGGGAGUAAGAGAAGAGACUACUUGAGGAUAGCGAUUGGUUUAUCUCUUUCUCCUAGUUUAUGAUGUUAGCUGCACUUAGGAUUGUGUUUAUGUUCUUUAUGUAUACAGUAUACAAUGAAUUGCAAAACAUCUUUCUUGAGAGUAUGAUGCAAUUGAUGUUGAGACCCAGUUUUUAGUCUAAUAAUUUUUUUUUUGAAAGCAAAAUCUUUAUUGAUAAGGAAAGGUAACCAAGAGCAAAAAGGUAGCUCAAAGAAACAGUACAAGAUGCAGCACCAAAGUUCCACACAAAGGAUCACAAGGACAGCAAAAAGAAAAAGAGAACAGAUGCAGAACAGAAAGCAUUACAAGGGGCAGAAAAUGGAAAUAAUAAUGGGGGCAAAGCAUUCAAGAGAGUGCAGCCUUCAAACAAUUCCCUUCCAUUAUAGAAAGCCACGAGCCAAGCUUCAAUAGACCAAUAAGCAAGGAUAACAACAAGUAGGAACUAGCAAAAUAACACAGCUUCAUGAUUACAGCAUAAUGUGCAAAUACCAGUAACACAGUUUUUAGUCUAAUAAUUAUUCGAUUC